AACCUCCGCAAUGUGAGAAAUCGCGACGGGGGGAUCCCAAGUGCCAUUCUUAACGGGAUGGCUUUUCAUUAGUGUAAAGAGCUUUUGGAAUAAGAGCUGGGCAAGACCGGUGCCAGCCGCCGCGGUAACACCGGCAGCUCUAGUGGUAACAAUUUUUAUUGGGCCUAAAGCGUCCGUAGCCGGUUUAAUAAGUCUCUGGUGAAAUCCUGUAGCUUAACUGUGGGAAUUGCUGGAGAUACUAUUAGACUUGAGACCGGGAGAGGUUGGAGGUACUCCCAGGGUAGAGGUGAAAUUCUGUAAUCCUGGGAGGACCGCCUGUUGCGAAGGCGUCCAACUGGAACGGCUCUGACGGUGAGGGACGAAAGUUAGGGGCGCGAACCGGAUUAGAUACCCGGGUAGUCCUAACUGUAAACGAUGCGGACUUGGUGUUGGGGUGGCUUUGAGCUGCUCCAGUGCCGAAGGGAGCUGUUAAGUCCGCCGCCUGGGAAGUACGGUCGCAAGACUGAAACUUAAAGGAAGU
rnacentral:rRNA from 1 species